AGAGUUCGAUCCUGGCUCAGGAUGAACGCUGGCGGCGCGCCUAACACAUGCAAGUCGAACGGUUAAAGCACCUUUUAGGUGUGUAUAAAGUGGCGAACGGCUGAGUAACACGUGGGCAACCUGCCCUCCUCUUGGGGAUAGCCUCGGGAAACCGAGGAUAAUACCCGAUACUUCAAUGUGGCCGCAUGACGACAUUGAGAAAGCUUUUGCGGAGAAGGAUGGGCCCGCGGCCUGUUAGCUUGUUGGUGGGGUAGAGGCCUACCAAGGCAAUGAUGGGUAGCUGGGUUGAGAGACCGACCAGCCAGAUUGGGACUGAGACACGGCCCAGACUCCUACGGGAGGCAGCAGUGGGGAAUCUUGCACAAUGGGCGAAAGCCUGAUGCAGCGACGCCGCGUGCGGGAUGAAGGCCUUCGGGUUGUAAACCGCUUUCAGCAGGGACGAGGCGAAAGUGACGGUACCUGCAGAAGAAGCCCCGGCUAACUACGUGCCAGCAGCCGCGGUAAUACGUAGGGGGCAAGCGUUAUCCGGAUUCAUUGGGCGUAAAGCGCUCGUAGGCGGUCUGUUAGGUCGGGAGUUAAAUCCGGGGGCUCAACCCCCGUUCGCUCCCGAUACCGGCAGACUUGAGUUUGGUAGGGGAAGGUGGAAUUCCUAGUGUAGCGGUGGAAUGCGCAGAUAUUAGGAAGAACACCAGUGGCGAAGGCGGCCUUCUGGGCCAUAACUGACGCUGAGGAGCGAAAGCUAGGGGAGCAAACAGGAUUAGAUACCCUGGUAGUCCUAGCCGUAAACGAUGGACACUAGGUGUGGGGGAAUAUUUCUUCCGUGCCGCAGCUAACGCAUUAAGUGUCCCGCCUGGGGAGUACGGCCGCAAGGCUAAAACUCAAAGGAAUUGAC
rnacentral:rRNA from 1 species